AGCAAAAUUGACAAAAGCUUUCGUGAGCUUCUGUUUGAGUCAAUUGAGUGUUUCUUCUUCAGCCGAUAGGCGAUAACCUCGCCGAUAGCCGUUCAGCCACCACCGCCGCUCUUGAGAUCCAUCGCCGAUCUCUGGCCUCCAUCACUCUUGAGAUCCACAGCCUUCAAUCGCUGGCCUCCGCCGCCGCAACACCACCAGUUCGUUCAGAUUUCAAGAGAAGCAAGUAGUUAGCAAGCGGGUGAACUGAAGCUAAAGCCUAAAUCUGGUAAUUUUUACAAUCUGAAGGCUAUUAUUGCUGAUUUGUUAUGCUAAAGUUGAUAUGUGGCUGGAAUUUUUUGAUUCAUUAUGCUGGGCCUUCGGGAUUGGAUUUUGCGGGUGUGAAACUAAUACGAAGGCCACAACUGUUGUGCUCUGUUCUCAGUUCUCUCCCUUUCUUUUAUGCACGUUUCUCCCUUUCCAGCUAACUGAAUCACCUAUAUGAAAGACAAAUGUAUCAGUUUGCAAAUUUAUUGUUGCCCGAAUAUGAUGCCUGUGAUUUUUCAAAAACUUUACUAUUAUGGCGUAUGUUAAAAACUUUCUACCAUUUUUACAUGGAUGAAAUGGAUGAGGAUUACAUGGAAGGGAUGAAAUGGAUGAGGAUUACUUUGAAUGGAAGAUGAUUUUGAGAGGACAGACAAGUAUGAUAAACCUCCAGGUCUUAUAAUUUAGCACCGCCAAUCAUAUGCACAUUUUAAGAGCUAGACCUUCUCACAAUUCUUGCCACAUUUUAAUGGCUCCGUGAUUUAGAGAUCAGGUGACUCUGGUUGAAAAAGAUCCGGUGGAUUAUGAUCCGGUGGAUAUAAAAAGAGGUCUUAUGAUCCGGUGGAUUAUGAAACUAUUGAUAAAGUUUAAUUUUGGGUAAUUGAUGAGGAACAAGAAGGAGAGCUUGAUUAUGAUGAGUUAGAAGAAAUGAUUGAAGAAGAAUUUCCCAAAACUAGCGAGAAUGAAGCCUCUCAAUCACAUAAGAAAGACACAAAUAUUGUGCAACUUGAUGAUGAGGAUGAUGUUGAUGAUAUCGACUUCGAAAGUUAUGAAAUUGGAGAUAAGGAUGAUGAAAAUGAAGAUGAAGAAUGGCUUAGAUAGUUCUUUGGAACAUGGUGUUUUAUUUAGAUUGAUAUUAUCAAGCAUUUGAACAUGAACUUGUUACCUUAUUUGGAUUGCUAUUUGUUAAUGAUUGAACAUAUAUGGGAUUUCUAUUUUAUAAAUUUGUGAGUUUGGAUGAAUUUGGU